CGAGUGGCGCACGGGUGAGUAACGCGUACACAACCUGCCCUUAAGUGGGGUAUAACCCUGGGAAACUGGGAAUAAUACCGCAUAACAUUGUGAAUUCGCAUGGAUUUACAAUUAAAGCUGAGGCGCUUAAGGAUGGGUGUGCGUUCCAUUAGCUAGUUGGUGAGGUAAAGGCUCACCAAGGCGACGAUGGGUAGGGGGCGUGAGAGCGUGAUCCCCCACACAGGUACUGAGACACGGACCCG
rnacentral:rRNA from 1 species